rnacentral:rRNA from 1 species
UACGUAGGGUGCGAGCGUUGUCCGGAAUUAUUGGGCGUAAAGGGCUCGUAGGCGGUUUGUCGCGUCGGCCGUGAAAUCUCCACGCUUAACGUGGAGCGUGCGGUCGAUACGGGCAGACUAGAGUUCGGUAGGGGAGACUGGAAUUCCUGGUGUAGCGGUGAAAUGCGCAGAUAUCAGGAGGAACACCGGUGGCGAAGGCGGGUCUCUGGGCCGAAACUGACGCUGAGGAGCGAAAGCGUGGGGAGCAAACAGG